UUUUUUUUUUUUUUUUUUUGGUCUUUUUGCUAUUUCUUGGGCCGCUCCCAUGGCAUAUGGAGGUUCCCAGGCUAGGGGUCCAAUCGGAGCUGUAGUCUCCGGCCUAUGCCAGAGCCACAGCAACGCGGGAUCCAAGCCGCGUCUGCAAACUACACCACAGCUCACGGCAAUGCCGGAUUGUUAACCCACUGAGCAAGUGCAGGGACUGAACCCGCAACCUCAUGGUUCCUAGUCAGAUUCGUUAACCACUGCGUCACGACGGGAACUCCAAUUUGUGGUAUUUUUGUUUCCUGUUGCUGUCUUUUCUUUUCUGCCUAGAGAAGUUCCUUUAGUAUUUGUUGUAAGGCUGGUUUAGUGCUGCUGAAUUCUCUCAGCUUUUGCUUAUCUGUGAAGGCUUUUAUUUCUCCUUCAAAUCUGAAUGAGAGCCUUGCUGGGUAAUCUUGCCUGGAGGUUUUUUCCUUUCAUCACCUUAAGUAUGUCAUGCCACUCCCUUCUGGCCUGCAGAGUUUCUGCUGAAAAAUCUGCCGAUAACUUUACUGGGGUUCCCUUGUGUGUUAUUUGUUUCUUUUCCCUAGAUGCUUUCAAGAUUUUCUCUUGUCUUUAAUUUUGGUUUGAUUAAUAAGUGUCUCGGGGUGUUCCUCCUUGGGUUUGUUUUAUAUGGUACUCAUUGCACUUCCUGGCCUUGAGUGAGUGGUUCCUUUCCCAUGUUAGGGAAGUUUUCAGCUAUUAUCUCUUGGAAUAUUUUUUCUGUCCCCUUCUCUCUCUCUUCUUCUUCUGGCACCCCUAUAAUAUGGAUGUUGGUAUGUUUAACGUUGUCCCAGAGUUCUCUGAGACUCUCUUCAUUCGUUUUCAAUCUUUUUUCUCUUUUCUGUUCUGCAUCCAUAAUUUCCACUAAUCUGUCCUCCACCUUGCUUAUUCAUUCUUCUGCCUCUGUAUUCUGCUGUUGGCUGCUUCUAGUGAAUUUUUUAUUUCAGUUAUUGUAUUUUGCAUCUCUUCUUGUUUAAGUUUUAUAUCUUAUAUCUCUUUGCUCAGUGUAAGUUAUCCAUCUUUGCCUCCAGUUUAUUUCCAGUGUCUUGCAUCAUCUUCAGCAUCAACAAUCUAAAAUCUUUUUCCUGGAGGCGGAAAAUCUCCUUAUCACUUGGCUGAUUUUCUGGGGUUUUUUAUUUCUCCCUUGUUUGAGUUAUAGUUCUCUGUCUUUUCGUUUUUAUAGGUUUUUGGUGUGGUGACCUUUUUACAGAUAAUAGAAUUGUAGCCUCUCUUACUUCUGGUGUCUUCCCCCCUUGUGGCUGAGGUUGGUAUGGGUUCUUGCUGUAGUCUUCCUGAUGGGAGGGGCUGAUGCCUACCACUGGUAGGUGGAUCUGAUUCUAAUCCCUUUGGUGGGUGGGGCUUAGUCUCUGGAUGGGAUUAGAGGCAACUUUGUGCCUUAGAGGUCUUUAGGCAGCCUGUUACUGACCGCAGGGCUGUGGUCCCACCUAGAUUGUUGUUUGCUCUGGGGUUUCUCAGCACUGAUGGGUGGGGCCAGAUUUUCCCAAAUUGGCCACCUCCAGAGAAAGGCAGCUGCUGAAUAUUCCCGAGAGCUUUGCUUCCAAUGUCCUUCCCUCACAACAAGCCACAUUCACCCCUGUUUUCCCAGGAUGUCCUCCAAGAACUGCAGUCAGGUUUGACCCAGAUUCCUAUGGAGACUUUGCUUUGUCCUGGGACCUAGUGCAUGUGAAAGUCUUUGUGUGCCUUUUAAGAAUGGGGUCUCCGUUUCCCCAGUCCUGUGGAACUCCUGUGCACAAGCCCCUCUGGCCUUCAAUGUCAGAUGCUCCAGGGGCUCUUUCUCCCAGUUCCAGAUCCCCACAUGUGAGAGUUUGAUGUGGGGCUUGGAACUCUCACUCCUGUAGGUGAGUCUCUGGGAACCAGUUAGUUUCCAGUCUGUUUAAUAUUCUUAAGCUUUGCCAGGAAACAAACUAGAUCAUUGAUGUUGGAAUUACAUGUGCAAGAAACUAAUUUUUACUUUAACAGGAACAUCCCUAUGAAACAAUGAAUAAUACCAAAUUACCAUUGAUGAGAGAGGCAAGUUGUAUUGGCUUAAAUGUUACCUGUUGUAUUUAAAGGCACUGGUGUUUAGACUGUCCCAUGUCUGUUCUCCCAAGGCUGGCUUUGUCUGCUUACACCAGGUUCACAUGCAAUAACACAUUAGCAUAAAAGAAAUUGGAAUCUUGACUUUAGAGGUUAUGAUAAGUUUCAUACAGCAAACCGUGAGUAUUGUGUCCUGGUUCUGAGAUCUAACUGCCCAGAUUUGAACCUGGAGUAGGCCAUUUAUUUGCUAAGUAACAGUGGGGAAAUUACUUCACUGUUCUGAACAUGUUUCCUCUUCUGUAAAAUUGACGUAAUAACACCUGUCUCAAAAUAUUAUUGUGAAAAUUCAAUGAGUUAAUACAUGUCAAGUACUUAGAACAGUUCCUGGCCUUUGGUGAAUGUUUAAUAAGUACUAGCUAUUAUUACAUGAUAAGUAUCAGUGAAAUAUGUAUGGAUUUUUAUGUGGAUAGACUCAAGUCUAAUUCAUCCAUUUGUUCCUGCUGUGAUGCAGUCAAUUUAGAAGCAGUUUUAAACCUGACCCAAAUUAGGUAUUACUCACACUGUAAAUGUUGGUUAGGCAUUUGGUUAUGGUUUCAAAUUAUGCUUAUGGAACUGAAAUAUAGGAAACUAUCUGGGUUAUAACAAUAAAAGAUAUUAAAAAUAAUUUUAAGGUAAUCUAUUUGUAGGAAUAAAUUAUGGCAUAUUUUCCACUUUGAAUUAUAGAACUAAAUGUCUACAAUCAUAUUAGACAAAAAAAGUCAAACUCAAUAUUUCUAGAAUAAAAAAAUUGUAAAAAUAAAAACAAAACAUUCAUGAAUGUAUAUUUGGGCAUAAUCAUUCAUUUCAUGAGUCAAAUAUUAAAUAAGCUUCAUCUUCCUAAGCUUUUUUACCUCAGAGAUACCUGGGUUUCUUAAAUAUGAGUUUAAACAUAUGAGUUAGGACUCUUAGUUGCCUGCAAAAAAAGUACAAGUCAUAGCAGUCUAAUCCAAAAAUAAAUGAUUUAUUCACUCACACAACUCAGAAAUGCAAGGGACUGGAGUUCCCAUUAUAGUUUAGCGUGUUAAGAAUCUAACUAGUAUCCAUGAGGGUGUGGGUUCCAUGUCUAGCCUAGAUCAGUGGGUUAAGGUUCUGGCAUUGCAGUGAGCUGCAGUGUAGGUUACAGAUGUGGCUUGGAUCCGGCAUUGCUUUGGCUGUGGCAGAGGCCUGUGGCUAUAGCUCUGAUUCAACCCCUGGCCUGGGAACUUCCAUAUGCUGCAAGUGUGGCCCUAAAAAGACCAGAAAAAAAAAAAAAA
rnacentral:lncRNA from 1 species